CACUGAGUGGCACAGUGAGUAGUGCUGCUGUCUCAUAGUACCUCAGUAGUGUGAGAGGACAUGGGUUCAAUUCCCCACUCAGUCU
rnacentral:tRNA from 1 species